rnacentral:rRNA from 1 species
UACAGAGGUGGCAAGCGUUGUUCGGAAUUACUGGGCGUAAAGGGCGCGUAGGCGGUUCGGUAAGUCCUGUGUGAAAUCCCUCGGCUCAACUGAGGAACUGCACGGGAGACUGCCGGGCUUGAGUUCGGGAGAGGGAAGCGGAAUUCCGGGUGUAGCGGUGAAAUGACGUAGAUAUCCGGAGGAACACCGGUGGCGAAGGCGGCUUCCUGGACCGACACUGACGCUGAGGCGCGAAAGCUAGGGGAGCAAACAGG